rnacentral:snRNA from 1 species
GGGCUCACUUUGGCAGCACAUAUACUAAGAUUGGAAACAGAUUAGCAUGGCCCCUGCAGAAGGGCGACAUGCAAGUGAAGCCGUUUCAUGUUUUU